UAUUUGUGAUAUCACGACUCCUCAACAUUCAAUCUGACUCACUGUGUUCCCAGAGUAACUUACUGGAGCUUCAGUUAUAAAUACCCCUCAUCCAGAGAUGAAGAUUACAGCUUUUACUAGAACCAGAAGAAUACUUUGUUCAACUUUCCGGUUAUUACAAUGGUGAAUCUCCAAAUCCUUCUAGCCGUUUUGAGAGCUGGGCGGUGCUCCGACAGGUUGCUGCGAUUCUGGGAGGCUAGAAAUUUGAGAAAAGGCGGUGAGCUAAUGUGUCUUGACAUGCUCUUUGUCGAUGAGAAAUGAUUUUUUUUUUUUACAUUGUAUUAGACUUUAGCGGAGAUAGCGAUUGUUCCUUAUCAUUCUCUAAACAUUUUUAUUCAAGGAACGUCUCAGUGAAGGGUCUCUCUAAACGAUAAGUGGUUUUGAUGUCACACGCAGCAGCCCCAAUUUUCGGUUGUCUGAUGCUCCCUUCUCGAUUCGGUUCAGUGAUGGAACCUCUGUUGAGAAGAAAACGGAUACCUAUGGAUUCAAAUGUGGGAUUCUUAUGGCAAAAAUAUCAUCAAUACUUUCAAUGAUUUGAUCUUUCUGGCAGAGAAAAAACGAGUACGGUUUCCAAAGGGGAUGAAAAUCUAUCUAAAUAUAUUGAAUUAUAUCUUUGCUAUCUAUAUAAAUGUUUAUAAUGUACAUGUAGUACCAAGAGAUUGUUAAUAUUCGCUUAGGUGAUGGAUCUAUGAGACGUGGUCAGGUCUGUGAGGUUGAUGGAUGGCGAGAAAACUGUUGUCCAGGUUUUUGAAUUAACAUCUGAAAUUAGCACCGUUCAAUUCACUAAGUUAUUGUUGGGCAAGCCAGAAUAUUCAACGAAUCAUGGUAAACCUAAGCAUUGAGAGGUAUGUACCACCUGGACGAACUUAAAUACGUUGAACGGUUUGAAAGUGGUGUAAGUUUUGGUUGAACCACUGUUUUUCUAAGUGUUUUUGACGUCCUCGCCACCAACUUCGAUGAGAAGUGACGAGCCUAAUGUCAUUGUUGGUUAGUGGUACGGAUUGCCCAGUAACUUUGAGCAUUUUAUAACUCUACCUCUCUUUCCUUACUUCUUUUCCUCCUAGGCCGGCUCUUCGUAAAUGAUACUUAAGGAACUCAUUUAUUCUGACAAACAGUGUAUUUCUAGCCAUAGAUUCCUCGAUGCGUUAGCAUAUAUACAACUCCCGUUUCAACUCUCAAGUUAACGUAUCUGAGUUUUCAGUCUUAGUGCACUUAACAUUAUGCAGGGAAUGUGUUAAGGACAUCGGUUCUUCCUCAGCCUCAACCAAGUAUGGAGGUGUCCAGAAACUCGAAUACGUCACAGAUGCGGAGUUUAAUGCAUAUGUUCUGGGUCACAGGUCUGGAACACAACAUGUACGGCUGUACCCUCUUAAACAGGUCUAACAUGUAACUUAGACGAAUUAGCUUUGUA